rfam:Pan troglodytes isolate Yerkes chimp pedigree #C0471 (Clint) chromosome X, whole genome shotgun sequence.
GCCAGGUGUGGUGGUGCGCACCUGUAGUCCCAGCUACUCAGGAGGCUGAGAUGGGAGGAUUGUUUGAGCCCAGAGGUUCGAGGCUGUAGUGAGUUAUGAUCACACCACUGCACUCCAGACUGGGCAACAGAGUGAGCUCCUCUCUCUA